GAGCCGGGAGGAGGCCCGCCGCAGGAAAAAGACGGAGGGCGGCGCACGCAGCACCUCGGCGCGCGGGUGGCGCUCCCAGGGCGCCCGGGCGGCCGGGGCUGCGGCGGAAGGGGAGUAGGGGGGGCGCAACCAAGACCCCCGCACCGCACCUCAUCCGAAAGUUAAAGCGCCCGCCUGGAGCGGAGAGGAGAAGCCCACCUCCCCGAAGAUUACUACAAAGCGCUUUUGUGUUCACCAAGUACAGCGCCUGGCCAUAGCAGAUGUUGAAAGCAUGAAUGUCUCUGUGUCUGCAGGAGCAGAGCUUCAGGUAGGGACCUGCCUGCUGAAGAGGACCCACAAAGAGAAGACCCCACAAGCCUCAUUAUUUGAAUCCAUGGGUCUUAUUCCUAGUUGCCUGUUGGAAUCCCUAAAUAUCACAAAAUAAACCCUAGAGGCUCCCUCAAAUAUUCUAACUCAACUGGCCUGAUUUAAGAGUCAUGCUAUUCUAAAGGUUUACCAUCCUUUUUGUUAGUCUGACUCCCAAAAAGACACUAACAAAUGAUGUUUUCAAAGCCAACUGGUUCCUGUGUAGGAAACUACUUCCCAGGCCCUCCUGUUGGUGCCACUCCCAAAUGCCGUGUGACACAACUACUUUUAAAAGUCGUCUUUAUGGGCCUACAUAAAGGAAGAAGGAACAAAAGGAAUGU